rnacentral:rRNA from 1 species
GACGAACACUGGCGGCGUGCUUAACACAUGCAAGUCGAGCGGAGCGGCGAACGGGUGAGUAACGCGUGAGUAACUGCCCCCCUCUCUGGGAUAACAGUUGGAAACGGCUGCUAAUACCGGAUAGUGGGGGAUGACUCGCGCCCUAUCAGCUUGUUGGUGGGGUAGGGGCCUACCAAGGCGACGACGGGUAGCCGGCCUGAGAGGGCGACCGGCCACAUAGGGCUGAGAUCGGGGCCAAACGCGUACGGGAGGCAGCAGUGGGGAAUAUUGCACAAUGGGGGAAACCCUGAUGCAGCAGCGCCGCGUGCGGGAUGACGGCCUUCGGGUUGUAACCCGCUUUCAGCCAUGACGCGGUAGUGGCAGAAGAAGCACCGGCUAACUACGUGCCAGCAGCCGCGGUAAUAC